rnacentral:lncRNA from 12 species
CUCCCGUCAUUUCUGAUACAGAUCUGCUGGGCAGCACCAGAGCCCCCAGGUGAACACCUGGCCCACACCCAUCCCCCUUUAAGGAAAGCAGCAUCCUAGGUCUCCCCUCUCCACCCACAGAUCUCCCCAAGGGUCUGGGGGCACACGGCCCUCCCCCUACCUCCCCCUACCUGGCCCAGUCAGCCAAGAAGGUGAAGUGUGCAUCAUGGCAUUGUGCAAAUGGGCUGGACAGACCAAAUUUGGAGAAUAUGUCUGGGGGAAUUAAAGAGAGCAGAAGGGGACACUUCUGAUCGAUUUGGGGACCUGGGGGCACACCACGGGCAGGCUUCAGAGCAGCUAGCAGUGAAGAGUGCCAUGUGGAUGAAGAGGACAUGGACAGGAAAGCAAAGAGCAGCCCGCUGUUUCAAGCAUGAGUCCCGCCUGCUUCAGAAGGCAGAUCCACCUCACCCCACACCAGCCCAAGGCCUCUGGUCACUGAGAACCUCCACUGGUACCUGCAGGGAAGACGGUCUUCCUCCACGACACGGGAUGAGGGCACAACAUGGAUCUUAUGGUUCUGAUCUCUAAGAACGAGACUGCUCCCCACCCACCCCAGUGAUCUCCAGAAAGUCCUGCAGUCUGGUUGCAUGGCCGGCUUGGGGCUGUCUUCCCACCCAGAAACAAAUCACGAUGGCCAGGGGAGAGCAUGUGCUAGUGGAACACGCUUAAGCUGGGUCACAUCUCCCCCAGGCUGAGGACAGGGUGGGCGCACCAGUCUCAUCAAAUCCACAAAUGACUUCCUAACAGAAUUGGGGAGACUAUGUAUGCUAAAACAAAAAAACCAAAAAAAACAAAAAAAAAAAAACUGGGCACAUAUUAAAUUUUCAGCAUAUGAGUCAAUUGCUACAACUUUACUGCCACCAUCAUGGCUAUGCUUCCUCAUUACUAAAUAUAACCAGCAAUUUCCAAAUUUUCUGCAGAGGGAAAUAUCUUUUGGGGAAGGACAGUGGUAGAAGAGUCUUUGGGAAAGAUGUGUCGAUAAAUAAAAGCUCAUACCUAAAGCA